CAGUCGCCGCGGUAAUACAGAGGGUGCGAGCGUUAAUCGGAUUUACUGGGCGUAAAGCGUGCGUAGGCGGCUUUUUAAGUCGGAUGUGAAAUCCCUGAGCUUAACUUAGGAAUUGCAUUCGAUACUGGGAAGCUAGAGUAUGGGAGAGGAUGGUAGAAUUCCAGGUGUAGCGGUGAAAUGCGUAGAGAUCUGGAGGAAUACCGAUGGCGAAGGCAGCCAUCUGGCCUAAUACUGACGCUGAUGUACGAAAGCAUGGGGAGCAAACAGGAUUAGAUACCCGUGUAGUCCCUGUCUCUUAUAA
rnacentral:rRNA from 1 species